UCACAAAUUUCAAUUUAACAGACUCUAGAAGCAGCUGGGAAACAAGGCUGUACCUGCUGGGGCUGACUGUGAUGGACUUGAGUGAUGUGGGAAGACCGAUGUUAACUGUGGAUGAGUCCAUUCUCUAGAAAGGAGCUGAGAAAGAGAGCUGAGCACCAGUGUGCCUCAGUUUUGCUUCCUGAUUGUAGAUGCUACUUCAAGUCCCUGCUACCUUCACUUCCUUUCUUGAUGUAUUUUACCACUGCAAUCUGAGGCCAAAUAAAUUCACUUAAAUUGCUUUUGUUAGAGAAGAAGAAAAUUAACUAUGAUAUUUGUUAAUAUUUGGUAGUAACAAACUACUUUUUUUCAAAAUUGAAACUAAAUGCUUUAUCCCAGUAAGACUUUCUGUGACAUUAAGAUAGCACUGAAUUUUUACAUAGAUCCUAUAUAAUUAUGUUAAACUUUCUACAUUUUCAAAACAAUUAUUAAAUGCAGUAUUCAGAAUUGUUUAAUAAAUAUCAAAACAAGUAUAUUAAGCUUUAAAAUAUUGAGUGUAUCAAUAAAGAUAGUGUCAGGAAAGCAUAUUCUCUAGAUAUGAGUCUACAACAAAAAUAUUAAUGGUUCCUCACCACUUAAUAAUCAACGGAAAUGAUUUUGGGACAUUCUUUUAUCUCAGGUAACAAACUGAAUUGUAUAUGUUUUUUCAAUGUACUGUUUUGUUAUAUCCCCCCUUUCCAUUGGUACACUGUUUUCUUUAUCACUUUUUUAGUAACCUGUUCCUGUUUUGAGUCUCAGUGCUAUAUCAAGGACUCUUCCCCAAUGAUGAAUUUGGUGUCUCUCUUGAAUAUUAUAAGUAAAUAAGACUCCAAAAAUGAUGCAUAUUUAUAAUCUGCUCUUCUACAGAAUGGUAAUUUGGAAUGAAUGUUAUCAAUUAAUAUGGUUUUGCCGUCUUUGAUGAAUCUAGCCUGCUCAAGAUAGAGGAGAUAAUCCAAAAAUAUACUUCAUAUCUACCACCCA
rnacentral:lncRNA from 1 species